rnacentral:rRNA from 1 species
UGUCCACUGAACCUUAUCAUUUAGAGGAAGGAGAAGUCGUAACAAGGUUUCCGUAGGUGAACCUGCGGAAGGAUCAUUGUCGAAACCUGCACAAGCAGAAAGACCCGCGAACUCGUUUACAAACACCCGAGGGGCAGGGCUCGGCCAAAACCGGCGCUGCCCCUCACACCAACGAACCCCGGCGCGGAUUGCGCCAAGGACCAUGAACAAUAGCGCGCCGCCCGCCACUCGGUCAUCCGGUGUGCGAGCGGCGACGUGUCGUUUCGAUACUAACUGAACGACUCUCGGCAACGGAUAUCUCGGCUCUCGCAUCGAUGAAGAACGUAGCGAAAUGCGAUACUUGGUGUGAAUUGCAGAAUCCCGUGAACCAUCGAGUCUUUGAACGCAAGUUGCGCCCGAAGCCUUCGGGCCGAGGGCACGUCUGCAUGGGCGUCACGCACAGCGUCGCCCCCACCCCAUCCCGUGGGGCGUGGGGCGGAUUCUGGCCCCCCGUGUGCUCCCGCGCGCGGUCGGCCUAAAAUCAGACCCCGUGGCCGCGAAAUGCCGCGACGAUUGGUGGUGUACGUGGCAGCCUCGUGCCGCCUAACAUCGCGUCGCGCCUUCCGUGGCCCUCUGGAGUCAAAAGGACCCUCGAGAGCCCUCCGCUGGUGCGGAGGGGCCUCUCAACCGUUGCGACCCCAUGUCAGGCGGGACUACCCGCUGAGUUUAAGCAUAUCAAUAAGCGGAGGA